GACAGAGGGUGCAAACGUUGUUCGGAAUUACUGGGCGUAAAGCGCGUGUAGGCGGCCCUGCAAGUCGGAUGUGAAAUCCCACGGCCCAACCGUGGAAGUGCCUCUGAUACUGCCGGCCUCGAGGGGGAUAGGGGCGUGCGGAACUCAGGGUGGAGCGGUGAAAUGCGUAGAUAUCCUGAGGAACACCGGUGGCGAAAGCGGCGCGCUGGAUCCCUUCUGACGCUGAGGCGCGAAAGCCAGGGGAGCAAACGGG
rnacentral:rRNA from 1 species